rnacentral:rRNA from 1 species
CCUACGGGAGGCAGCAGUGAGGAAUAUUGGUCAAUGGGCGGGAGCCUGAACCAGCCAAGUCGCGUGAGGGAUGACGGCCCUAUGGGUUGUAAACCUCUUUUGUCGGGGAGCAAAGCGAACCACGUGUGGCUCAUUGAGAGUACCCGAAGAAAAAGCAUCGGCUAACUCCGUUCCAGCAGCCGCGGUAAUACGGAGGAUGCGAGCGUUAUCCGGAUUUAUUGGGUUUAAAGGGUGCGCAGGCGGAGGUGCAAGUCAGCGGUCAAAUUGCGGGGCUCAACCCCGGACUGCCGUUGAAACUGCAGCCCUUGAGUGCGCGAGAAGUAUGCGGAAUGCGUGGUGUAGCGGUGAAAUGCAUAGAUAUCACGCAGAACUCCGAUUGCGAAGGCAGCAUACCGGCGCGCAACUGACGCUCAUGCACGAAAGCGUGGGUAUCGAACAGGAUUAGAUACCCGUGUAGUC